UCUUAAAUCAGUUUCUUUCCACUAUAGAAUAACAGGAACACAUUCUCGUAAAUUAACAAAUGUCUUUCUUAAUAUCUAAAAAUCCAAACAAGAGAGAAGAUAAAUAGAAAAAGAAUAUGGAAAUCCUAGUCUGCUUAAAUAGUUGUUAAAUCCUUGAAACUAGGCAAAACCCCAUGCGUAUUCACCACCAUGGCCAAUAUAGAAAUCUCUGGUAAUUGGGGCUAAAGGAAGGGAAUGAAAUUGGAAGGUUUUUUCUCCUUCAUAUGGAUUUGAAAGUGGAGAGUGUGUUUUACGCGUCAAAUCUGGUUUUCGCUGCUACGGAGGUCAGUCAUGUUGAUGAAAUGUUGUAGGUGGGAGAAUUCCAGGCACGUAGGAGGUGGGGACGACUAAGAGGAGAAGCACCACCGUGGCAGUGCCUCCCUGAUUAAACAACACCGUGGAUUACGGCGGUGCCGACGGGCUCAUAUGGAGAAGAGAUCGGAGGACGUGAUGAAACCUCCAUCACCGGCGUGGACAAUGAUGGAAGCUACAAACCUGGGAAUGAGAGUUGUGGGAGCAGAGAGAAAGAGCGCUUAAAAAUAAAUAAUAAAAAAAAUCAAAUUAUAUUUUUUUUUUAUUCUUCCGGUUGAAGACCUUUUUAAUCA
rnacentral:lncRNA from 1 species